rnacentral:rRNA from 1 species
GCCCUUAGAGUUUGAUCCUGGCUCAGAGCGAACGCUGGCGGCGCGCUUAAGACAUGCAAGUCGAACGAGGCGGGGAGCUUGCUCCCCAGCCGAGUGGCAAACGGGUGAGUAACACGUGGAAACCUCCCCUUGGGUGCGGAACAACCACCGGAAACGGUGGCUAAUGCCGCAUAAUAUCGAGAGACCAAAGAUUUAUCGCCCAAGGAAGGGUCCGCGUCAGAUUAGCUAGUUGGUGGGGUAAUGGCCUACCAAGGCGACGAUCUGUAGCUGGUCUGAGAGGAUGAUCAGCCACAUUGGCACUGCGACACGGGCCAAACUCCUACGGGAGGCAGCAGUUUGGAAUCAUAGGCAAUGGGCGAAAGCCUGACCUUGCGACGCCGCGUGAGUGAUGAAGGCCUUCGGGUUGUAAAGCUCUUUUGGCAGGGACGAUGAUGACGGUACCUGCGGAAUAAGCUCCGGCAAACUUCGUGCCAGCAGCCGCGGUAAUACGAAGGGAGCUAGCGUUGCUCGGAUUUACUGGGCGUAAAGCGCGUGUAGGCGGUUUGAUAAGUUAGGCGUGAAAGCCCAGGGCUUAACCCUGGAAUUGCGCUUAAUACUGUCAAGCUAGAGUAUGGUAGAGGGUGGUGGAAUUCCCAGUGUAGAGGUGAAAUUCGUAGAUAUUGGGAGGAACACCGAUGGCGAAAGCAGCCACCUGGGCCAUAACUGACGCUAAGACGCGAAAGCGUGGGGAUCAAACAGGAUUAGAUACCCUGGUAGUCCACGCCUUAAACGAUGAGUGCCAGACGUUGGGGCAACAGUCUCAGUGUCGCAGCUAACGCGAUAAGCACUCCGCCUGGGGAGUACGGCCGCAAGGUUAAAACUCAAAGGAAUUGACGGGGACCCGCACAAGCGGUGGAGCAUGUUGUUUAAUUCGAUGCUGACCGAAGAACCUUACCAACUUUUGACAUGCAGAUUUUAGCUGCUCGGAGACAAGCGGCGUCGGUUCGGCCGGGGUCUGCACAGGUGAUGCAUGGCUGUCGUCAGCUCGUGUCGGGAGAUGUUGGGUUAAGUCCCGCAACGAGCGCAACCCCUACCGUUAGUUGUUACCAGGUAAUGCUGGGCACUCUAAUGGAACUGCCGGCGAUAAGCCGGAGGAAGGAGGGGAUGAUGUCAAGUCAUCAUGUUCCUUACAAGUUGGGCUACAAACGUGCUACAAUGGCGGCGACAAUGGGAAGCGAAGACGCAAGUCUGGGCAAAUCUCAAAAAACCGCCUCAGUUCAGAUUGCACUCUGCAACUCGAGUGCAUUAAGUUGGAAUCGCUAGUAAUCGCGGAUCAGCAUGCCGCGGUGAAUACGUUCUCGGGUCUUGUACACACCGCCCGUCAAGUCAUGGAAGUUGAUUUUACCUGAAGACAGUACGCUAACCGCAAGGGGGCAGCUGGCUACGGUAGGGUCAAUGACUGGGACUAAGUCGUAACAAGGUAACCAAGGG